rnacentral:tRNA from 2 species
GGUCGGGAUAGCUCAGCUGGUAGAGCAGAGGACUGAAAAUCCUCGUG